rnacentral:rRNA from 1 species
CGGNGGAGUAAUGCCUAGGAAUCUGCCUGGUAGUGGGGGACAACGUUUCGAAAGGAACGCUAAUACCGCAUACGUCCUACGGGAGAAAGCAGGGGACCUUCGGGCCUUGCGCUAUCAGAUGAGCCUAGGUCGGAUUAGCUAGUUGGUGAGGUAAUGGCUCACCAAGGCGACGAUCCGUAACUGGUCUGAGAGGAUGAUCAGUCACACUGGAACUGAGACACGGUCCAGACUCCUACGGGAGGCAGCAGUA